GGUUUUACCAACUCGUUGGCUACAGUAAGUUUGAAAAUAAAGCCUGGCUUUAGAACUCUCUAAAGUUUGACCUCGGAUCAGGUAGGAUUACCCGCUGAACUUAAGCAUAUCAAUAAGCGGAGGAAAAGAAACCAACAGGGAUUACCUUAGUAACGGCGAGUGAAGCGGUAAAAGCUCAAAUUUGAAAUCUAGCGUCUUUGGCGUUCGAGUUGUAAUUUGAAGAUGGUAAUCUUGGAUAUAGUCUUCGGCUAUGUUCCUUGGAACAGGACGUCACAGAGGGUGAGAAUCCCGUGUGCUGAGGUGCCUAUAUCCAUGUAAGAUGCUAUCGAAGAGUCGAGUUGUUUGGGAAUGCAGCUCUAAGUGGGUGGUAAAUUCCAUCUAAAGCUAAAUAUUGGCGAGAGACCGAUAGCGAACAAGUACAGUGAUGGAAAGAUGAAAAGAACUUUGAAAAGAGAGUGAAAAAGUACGUGAAAUUGUUGAAAGGGAAGGGCAUGAGGUCAGACUUGGUAUUAAGCGAUCAUUUCCUCUCGGGGUUGUGCUCUCGCUUUUUACUGGGCCAGCAUCAGUUUGGACGGUAAGAUAAUGACAUUGGAAUGUGGCUUUCUUCGGGAAGUGUUAUAGCCCUUGUUGAUGUUACCAGUCUGGACUGAGGACCGCGCAUUAUUGCUAGGAUGCUGGCGUAAUGGCCUUAUGCCGCCCGUCUUGAAACACGGACCAAGGAGUCUAACGUCUAUGCAAGUGUUUGGGUGUAAAACCCGUACGCGUAAUGAAAGUGAACGUAGGUCUGAGCCUUCGGGUGCAAGAUCGACCGAUCCUGAUGUCUUCGGAUGGAUUUGAGUAAG
rnacentral:rRNA from 1 species